rnacentral:tRNA from 1 species
AAAAUCCGUCGAAUUUUUAACUCGUGAGGGUUCAAGUCCCUCUAUCCCCA